GAUGAACGCUGGCGGCGUGCCUAAUACAUGCAAGUCGAGCGAACAGACGAGGAGCUUGCUCCUUUGACGUUAGCGGCGGACGGGUGAGUAACACGUGGGUAACCUACCUAUAAGACUGGGAUAACUUCGGGAAACCGGAGCUAAUACCGGAUAAUAUUUCGAACCGCAUGGUUCGAUAGUGAAAGAUGGCUUUGCUAUCACUUAUAGAUGGACCUGCGCCGUAUUAGCUAGUUGGUAAGGUAACGGCUUACCAAGGCAACGAUACGUAGCCGACCUGAGAGGGUGAUCGGCCACACUGGAACUGAGACACGGUCCAGACUCCUACGGGAGGCAGCAGUAGGGAAUCUUCCGCAAUGGGCGAAAGCCUGACGGAGCAACGCCGCGUGAGUGAUGAAGGUCUUCGGAUCGUAAAACUCUGUUAUUAGGGAAGAAUAAACGUGUAAGUAACUGUGCACGUCUUGACGGUACCUAAUCAGAAAGCCACGGCUAACUACGUGCCAGCAGCCGCGGUAAUACGUAGGUGGCAAGCGUUAUCCGGAAUUAUUGGGCGUAAAGCGCGCGUAGGCGGUUUUUUAAGUCUGAUGUGAAAGCCCACGGCUCAACCGUGGAGGGUCAUUGGAAACUGGAAAACUUGAGUGCAGAAGAGGAAAGUGGAAUUCCAUGUGUAGCGGUGAAAUGCGCAGAGAUAUGGAGGAACACCAGUGGCGAAGGCGACUUUCUGGUCUGUAACUGACGCUGAUGUGCGAAAGCGUGGGGAUCAAACAGGAUUAGAUACCCUGGUAGUCCACGCCGUAAACGAUGAGUGCUAAGUGUUAGGGGGUUUCCGCCCCUUAGUGCUGCAGCUAACGCAUUAAGCACUCCGCCUGGGGAGUACGACCGCAAGGUUGAAACUCAAAGGAGUUGACGGGGACCCGCACAAGCGGUGGAGCAUGUGGUUUAAUUCGAAGCAACGCGAAGAACCUUACCAAAUCUUGACAUCCUUUGACCCUUCUAGAGAUAGAAGUUUCCCCUUCGGGGGACAAAGUGACAGGUGGUGCAUGGUUGUCGUCAGCUCGUGUCGUGAGAUGUUGGGUUAAGUCCCGCAACGAGCGCAACCCUUAAGCUUAGUUGCCAUCAUUAGGUUGGGCACUCUAAGUUGACUGCCGGUGACAAACCGGAGGAAGGUGGGGAUGACGUCAAAUCAUCAUGCCCCUUAUGAUUUGGGCUACACACGUGCUACAAUGGACAAUACAAAGGGCAGCGAAACCGCGAGGUCAAGCAAAUCCCAUAAAGUUGUUCUCAGUUCGGAUUGUAGUCUGCAACUCGACUACAUGAAGCUGGAAUCGCUAGUAAUCGUAGAUCAGCAUGCUACGGUGAAUACGUUCCCGGGUCU
rnacentral:rRNA from 1 species